GAUGAACGCUGGCGGCGUGCCUAACACAUGCAAGUCGAGCGAUUCUCUUCGGAGAAGAGCGGCGGACGGGUGAGUAACGCGUGGGUAACCUGCCCUGUACACACGGAUAACAUACCGAAAGGUAUGCUAAUACGAGAUAAUAUGCUUUUAUCGCAUGGUAGAAGUAUCAAAGCUCCGGCGGUACAGGAUGGACCCGCGUCUGAUUAGCUAGUUGGUAAGGUAGCGGCUUACCAAGGCGACGAUCAGUAGCCGACCUGAGAGGGUGAUCGGCCACAUCGGAACUGAGACACGGUCCAAACUCCUACGGGAGGCAGCAGUGGGAAGUAUUGCACAAUGGGCGAAAGCCUGAUGCAGCAACGCCGCGUGAGCGAUGAAGGCCUCGGUCGUAAG
rnacentral:rRNA from 1 species